rnacentral:tRNA from 1 species
AGACGGCGUGGACGAGGUCAUCGAGCGUCCCCGUCAUCUCGGGAUCGUCGGUGAGCGCCCGCGCGACGGCGGCGGUGCAGGCCGUCGCCGGCUGC